rnacentral:rRNA from 1 species
UACAGAGGUCCCGAGCGUUGUUCGGAUUCACUGGGCGUAAAGGGUGCGUAGGUGGCUUGACAAGUUUGAUGUGAAAGCUCAGGGCUUAACCCUGAAAUGGCAUUGAAUACUGUCGAGCUGGAGGUUUGGAGGGGGGACUGGAAUUCUUGGUGUAGCAGUGAAAUGCGUAGAGAUGUGGAGGAACACCGAUGGCGAAGGCAGCCUCCUGGGCCAAUACUGACGCUCAUGCACGAAAGCGUGGGGAGCAAACAGG